rnacentral:rRNA from 1 species
AGCGGGGGAUAGCCCGGCGAAAGCCGGAUUAAUACCGCAUACGCCCUACGGGGGAAAGGGGGGGAUCGUAAGACCUCUCACUAUUGGAGCGGCCGAUGGCUGAUUAGCUAGUUGGUGGGGUAAAGGCCUACCAAGGCAACGAUCAGUAGCUGGUCUGAGAGGACGACCAGCCACACUGGGACUGAGACACGGCCCAGACUCCUACGGGAGGCAGCAGUGGGGAAUUUUGGACAAUGGGCGAAAGCCUGAUCCAGCAAUGCCGCGUGUGCGAAGAAGGCCUUCGGGUUGUAAAGCACUUUUGUCAGGGAAGAAAUCGUUCGGGCUAAUACCUCGGGCAGUUGACGGUACCUGAAGAAUAAGCACCGGCUAACUACGUGCCAGCAGCCGCGGUAAUACGUAGGGUGCAAGCGUUAAUCGGAAUUACUGGGCGUAAAGCGUGCGCAGGUGGUUCGUUAAGACAGUUGUGAAAUCCCCGGGCUUAACCUGGGAACUGCAAUUGUGACUGGCGGACUAGAGUUUGGCAGAGGGGGGUGGAAUUCCUGGUGUAGCAGUGAAAUGCGUAGAUCUCAGGAGGAACACCGAUGGCGAAGGCGCCCCCUGGGCCAUGACUGACACUCAUGGCACGAAAGCGUGGGGGAGCAAACAGGAUUAGAUACCCUG